rnacentral:rRNA from 1 species
CCUACGGGAGGCAGCAGUGAGGAAUAUUGGUCAAUGGGCGCAAGCCUGAACCAGCCAAGUAGCGUGAAGGAUGACUGCCCUACGGGUUUUAACCUUCUUUUAUAAAGGAAUAAAUUACGGCACGUGUGCCUUUUUGUAUGUACUUUAUUAAUAAGGAUCGGCUGACUCCGUGCCAGCAGCCGCGGUAAUUCGGAGGUUCCGGGCGUUAUCCGGAUGUAGUGGGUUGAAAAGGAUCGUAGUUGGGGCGUUAAGUCAGUUGUGUAAGUUUGCGGCUCAAACGUUAAAUUGCAAUUGAUACUGGCAGUCUUGAGUACAGUUGAGGCAGGCGGAAUUCGUGGUGUAGCGGUGAAAUGCUGAGAUAUUACGAAGAACACCGAUGGCGAAGGCAGCUUACUAAACUGUGACUGACAUUGAGGCUCGAAAGUGUGGGUAUCAAACAGGAUUAGAUACCCCUGUAGUC